rnacentral:rRNA from 1 species
GACGUAGGGGGCCAGCGUUGUUCGGAAUUACUGGGUGUAAAGGGUCAGUAGGCGGUGCGGCAAGUCAGGAGUGAAAUCUCUGGGCUUAACCCAGAGGCUGCUUCCGAAACUGCCGUGCUGGAGUGUGGGAGAGGUGCGUGGAAUUCCCGGUGUAGCGGUGAAAUGCGUAGAUAUGUGGAGGAACACCGAUGGCGAAGGCAGCCCCCUGGGUCAAGACUGACGCUCAUGCACGAAAGCGUGGGGAGCAAACAGG